AUACGGAGGGUGCAAGCGUUACUCGGAAUCACUGGGCGUAAAGCGCGCGCAGGCGGCUAUUUAAGUUGGAUGUGAAAGCCUACGGCUCAACCGUAGAACUGCAUCCAAAACUAUUUAGCUAGAGUGUGGGAGAGGAAGAUGGAAUUAGUUGUGUAGGGGUAAAAUCCGUAGAGAUAACUAGGAAUACCAAAAGCGAAGGCAAUCUUCUGGAACACUACUGACGCUUAGGCGCGAAAGCGUGGGGAGCAAACGGGAUUAGAAACCCCAGUAGUCC
rnacentral:rRNA from 1 species